GGUAAUUUAGACGGUUAAGAUUAAAACACGUAUUUUUCCUCAUACCCCCUACGGCCCUACCACCCGAUCAAAAUUUUCUCUCUCCUCUAACUUUCUCUCUCUUCGUGCUCAUCUCAUUCUCUUUUGCAAACCCCCAAAAAUCUCCAUAGAAAUUGCAAUUUGAAGGAUUUUCGACUCAGCAAAAUGCAAGGCCAAAAUGAAGCAAAAUCAGAAGGAGGAGUUACUAAUAUACAAGAAGAAGAAAUUACUUAUGUAAGAAAAAGGAAAGUUGAAAACGUUGAAGCGGAAGUAAUUGAUAGAUCGGAAUUUGAGAAGCAUAUUGAAAGUAAAAGUGUUGCUAUAAGACAUAGAAAACUUCCAACAAGGCUUCAACCACCUCGAAAAUUGCAAAAAAAAA